CUUUCACGCACCCUUUUCUUUCCUGUUUCCGUUCCCUGUUCUCUCACAGCCCUUUUCUCCACAGCCGUUCCGUUCCUUGUUCUCUCACAGCCGCACGCCGCACCCUUUCCCUGUUCUCUCACAGCCACACCCUUAUCACAGCCACACGUCGCCUCUUCCAGUUCUUCCUCAAGACCUGUAUAUCUGCAACUCCUGAGUAUCAAGGUUCAACAAGCUUUUUCAGACCUGGAGAGGGAGCGUGGUUAUCUUGUUACUGAUGAAGUGUUUGAGGCAUUGGUAAAAAUUGGAUUCUCGCUGGACUCUCCUGCUUUUUACACUGCCUGUGAGCCUCAUGCAUCUCAAAUAUUGUUUUGUACCAAAGAAAUUGUUUAAAUGCAAUGAUGUAUGCCAGAUGAUCUAGCAGGAAUACAUUAGUUCUAGAAGACCGAAGAAAAAGAUGUAAUUUGACCUCUGGUAUUGCUAUCAGUAUACUCUGAUUACAUAAAAUAUAUACACCUAUAUUUCCUUUUGUACUAGACGUGUAUUAUGAUUAUAGCACAAACUUGUGGGUAUCUAUGCACACAUAUCUCAUACAUACAUAAGCAGGAUGUUGAUAAUGCAUUAUCUAUAACAGAUAUGUAUACAUGUAUAUAUAUUUCUAAAACUUGUAGCUUUUUUAUGUUAAAGAGUUUAACAAUGUUACAUUCUGAGACCUUUGUAGCUCUUGUAGUUGUGGUAUUGUGUGUCCUCAAUACCAAUGUCUGUGAGGUAAAUCAUAACACAUACGAGCAGUGCUUUGAGGUUUUGGGCUUGGUCUGGGUGGCUCUGUGAUUUUUGAAUUAGGCUUGGCGGCUUUAACACUUUUGGAAUUUAGCCUUGGAAGCCUUGAGGAUAAAAUGAUGGAGUUAAGGGGUCAACAUCCUCCAGAAGAACUGUCUGAUAAAGAGAUUAUGGAGCGUGUACUUGGACGUGAUUCGGUAUACUUGCGAGGGUGGGGGCGGUCUCCUAGUGUCACAACUUCUACUUCACAUCGUGAAAAUAUUGUGGGUAAUCAACCAACUUAUGAAGAGUUACUUGAACGACUUAAUGAUACAACUUCCCGCCUUAAUGCUACUAACGAACAACUUAGUGUAGUUGUGGAUAUACUUCGUCAUAACAAUUUGAUGGCACCGCCGCCUCCACCACCUCCAACAGACCAAGCUUAAGAUGCAAAUUUAAGAGAGUCGCCAUCUAUUUCAGUUCGGGAGUCACAAGAUGAUUCUUAGUUUAUUUACAUUAAUUUACUAAGGAAUGAACUUUAUGAAGUUUUUUUUUUAUUUUGGUAGGGGUAACCUUAAAAUGAUAAUUUUAUGACUUAUUUUAGUAUUGAACAUUAUAAAGAAUUUUAGCAUUAAACAUUUUAUUAUUGAAUGGUUUUUUUCUAGUUUAUUUCUAAUAUAGAACAUUUACAAAUAA